UAAUCUACUCCAGACUGGACAUUUUUCUUCAUGGGACCAACAGACGCUACAACAUUUGAAAAUGGCAUCCACUGGCUUUGCGAACAGUGAAGGCAUGGGCAGCAUCUUUGGUUCACAGAAGUCAUCCUGAGGUCCUUGUCCUUUCCUCCACUGACGGUGCAGCAUACCACGUGGAUCGACUUCCAAUGUGGAACCGUUCCAGGAGGAAGCACGCUUUAAGGAGAGGCAGUUGGAGCCAAGCCCAGUUAGAAACUCAAGUCCUGGGGUUUCCACAUGGAGAGGACAAUCUGGUGGCCCUGGUGCCACUUGCAGAGAAGCCUGUGUCCCAGCCCUUUGAGCAUGGCGGAGGCGAUCAUGAGCCGGGGCACUGACCAGCCAGUGGCACCCACCUGAGGCUGCUCCUGCCCAGGCCACACGCCAGCAUGGGAUGGCUUAGAGCCAACUCCCCGAGGGACAGUGCUUGAGGAUAAAGUCCUCUUGGGUCCAAACCCUUGACCUGACUCAGCACCAGGGCUGCAUCUGCCCUGUGGGAAGGGCAAGCUGCACUCACCGGGUCAAGUCUUCGAUGUCCA